UUCGCAAUGCCCGAAAGGGUGACGAAGCGACGCCGCGUGUGGGAAGAAGGCCUUCGGGUUGUAAACCACUGUCAGGAGUCAGGAAGUGCAGGAGCGUUAAUAGCGUUCUUGCUUGACUAAGGCUCCAGAGGAAGCCACGGCUAACUCUGUGCCAGCAGCCGCGGUAAUACAGAGGCGGCAAGCGUUGUUCGGAAUUAUUGGGCGUAAAGAGCACGUAGGCGGCCUUGCAAGUCAGUUGUGAAAGCCUUCCGCUUAACGGAAGAAUGCCAGCUGAUACUACAGGGCUUGAGUACGGGAGGGGAGAGUGGAACUUCUGGUGGAGCGGUGAAAUGCGUAGAUAUCAGAAGGAACGCCGGCGGCGAAAGCGACUCUCUGGCCCGAAACUGACGCUGAGUGUGCGAAAGCUAGGGGAGCAAACGGGAUUAGAUACCCCGGUAGUCCUAGCCGUAAACGAUGGGCACUAAGUAGAGGGGUUUU
rnacentral:rRNA from 1 species